rnacentral:rRNA from 1 species
AGUGAACGCUGGCGGUAGGCCUAACACAUGCAAGUCGAACGGCAGCACAGUAAGAGCUUGCUCUUACGGGUGGCGAGUGGCGGACGGGUGAGGCAUACAUCGGAAUCUACUUUUUCGUGGGGGAUAACGUAGGGAAACUUACGCUAAUACCGCAUACGACCUACGGGUGAAAGCAGGGGAUCUUCGGACCUUGCGCGAUUGAAUGAGCCGAUGUCGGAUUAGCUAGUUGGCGGGGUAAAGGCCCACCAAGGCGACGAUCCGUAGCUGGUCUGAGAGGAUGAUCAGCCACACUGGAACUGAGACACGGUCCAGACUCCUACGGGAGGCAGCAGUGGGGAAUAUUGGACAAUGGGCGCAAGCCUGAUCCAGCAAUACCGCGUGGGUGAAGAAGGCCUUCGGGUUGUAAAGCCCUUUUGUUGGGAAAGAAAAGCAGCAGGUGAAUACCCCGCUGUUCUGACGGUACCCAAAGAAUAAGCACCGGCUAACUUCGUG